GUGCUCACCUCGGCCUCAUGUAGACUAAAAUCAGAACAAUACAGAGAUUAGCACAGCCCCUGCGCAAGAAUGACACGCAAAUUGGUGAAGCGUUCCAGGUAUUU
ensembl:snRNA U6 U6 spliceosomal RNA